AUCCAGCUGACGAGUUCCAAAUAGGACGAAACGCGUGUCCUAUAU
rnacentral:hammerhead_ribozyme from 1 species